AGUGAACGCUGGCGGUAGGCCUAACACAUGCAAGUCGAACGGCAGCACAGUAAGAGCUUGCUCUUACGGGUGGCGAGUGGCGGACGGGUGAGGAAUACAUCGGAAUCUACUUUUUCGUGGGGGAUAACGUAGGGAAACUUACGCUAAUACCGCAUACGACCUACGGGUGAAAGCAGGGAUCUUCGGACCUUUCGCGGUUGAAUGAGCCGAUGUCGGAUUAGCUAGUUGGCGGGGUAAAGGCCCACCAAGGCGACGAUCCGUAGCUGGUCUGAGAGGAUGAUCAGCCACACUGGAACUGAGACACGGUCCAGACUCCUACGGGAGGCAGCAGUGGGGAAUAUUGGACAAUGGGCGCAAGCCUGAUCCAGCCAUACCGCGUGGGUGAAGAAGGCCUUCGGGUUGUAAAGCCCUUUUGUUGGGAAAGAAAAGCAGCAGGUUAAUACCCCGCUGUUCUGACGGUACCCAAAGAAUAAGCACCGGCUAACUUCGUG
rnacentral:rRNA from 1 species